rnacentral:rRNA from 1 species
CCUACGGGUGGCAGCAGGGGGGAAUAUUGCACAAUGGGGGAAACCCUGAUGCAGCGACGCCGCGUGAGUGAAGAAGGAUCUCGGUACGUAAAGCUCUAUCAGCAGGGAAGAAAAUGACGGUACCUGACUAAGAAGCCCCGGCUAACUACGUGCCAGCAGCCGCGGUAAUACGAAGGGGGCAAGCGUUAUCCGGAUUUACUGGGGGUAAAGGGAGCGUAGACGGCAGCACAAGUCUGGAGUGAAAUCCCGGGGCUUAACCCCGGAACUGCUUUGGAAACUGUGCGGCUGGAGUGCAGGAGGGGUGAGCGGACUUCCUCGUGUCGCGGUGAACUGCGUAGAUCUUAGGCGGCACCCCGGUGGCGCAGGCGGCUUACUGGACUGUAACUGCCGUUGCGGCUCGACCGCGUGGGGAGCAAACCGGAUUAGAUACCCCUGUAGUC